GUGCACAUUUCAUUGUCUUUUUUUUUUUUUUUUUUAAUGUCAAGAGAAAAGAGAUUUCUGAUGUGCUAAAUAAACCUUUGGAGGUAAAUGAGCAGCACGACUAAUUUAGCCAUUGCUGUCAGUCACUUCAGACAACA